AUUGAACGCUGGCGGCAGGCCUAACACAUGCAGGUCGAACGAAGGCUUCGGCCUUAGUGGCGCACGGGUGAGUAACGCGUGGGAACCUGCCCUUUGGUACGGAAUAACAUCGGGAAACUGAUGCUAAUACCGUAUAUGGCUUUGGCUGAAAGAUUUAUCGCCGAAGGAGGGGCCCGCGUCUGAUUAGCUAGUUGGUGAGGUAAUGGCUCACCAAGGCGACGAUCAGUAGCUGGUCUGAGAGGAUGAUCAGCCACACUGGGACUGAGACACGGCCCAGACUCCUACGGGAGGCAGCAGUGGGGAAUAUUGGACAAUGGGGGCAACCCUGAUCCAGCAAUGCCGCGUGAGUGAUGAAGGCCUUCGGGUUGUAAAGCUCUUUUGGCAGGGACGAUGAUGACGGUACCUGCAGAAUAAGCCCCGGCUAACUUCGUGCCAGCCGCCGCAGUAAAAC
rnacentral:rRNA from 1 species